AAGUUUAAGGUUGGCGCCUCCUGGUCGCCACGGCACACGAAACAGCGUUGGUUCCCCAUAUACAGGCAAGUAAAGCUGUCGCUCUGCGGCUGGCUGAAUAGCCUGUGUAUCAGGUCUGUUUCGUGUGCUGAAUUGUUGACGCAUUUAUUUAUUGGUAUCGCAUGAACCCCAUCGUAAUUAAUCGGCUUCAACGGAAGCUGGGCUAUACUUUUA
rnacentral:sRNA from 1 species